ACAGUCACAUCAGGUUGAAACACCUGUUCCCAUAUGAUCACCAAAGUUAAGCAAUAUUGAGCUAGGUCAGUGCCUAGAUGGGUGACCGCUUGGGAAUAUCACAUACU